UGGGGCCAGGAGUAUAAUAACAGUGUAAUUUUGGAACUGGAAUUUAGAUAAAAUCUGUUUAGAAGUAUCAGACAAAGGAAAACUGUUUUAUUUUUUUCUUUUAAGGCAGGUUUAUUUAGAAGCUUUGAUUAUUUUUAUUUUUCCCUCCUAAUAAAAGAUUAAGGUUAACUGCUAUAGUUUCAGACCCAUAUUCUAUGAAAUCUUGUCCUGAUUGUGAUGGUAGCUUCUUAUGGGAAUUAUUUCUGUCAUUGUACCACUAUGUACUAUACGCAUUGCACCUGUUCACACAGAGUACAUUGCAUUGUGAUGUUUGUACAGCUAGAUGCUUCAAAUGAGAAGCCAAUCUCCCUUCUUCUAGGGUCCUAGCCUAUUAGUUACUUAAUUAAGCUUAAUUCUGUUCUGGCCUGUAAUUUUGUAGGUCUGCAAUUUUGUAUAUGGUCUUGAUUUAUUAACUGAGCAAUGAUUUCUUCUUUGCAGUUACCAGUUUUGUCUGAGAUCAGUUUUCCUAUUGUUUGGAGUCUGUUUCUUACAGAGCCUCCUUUAAGACUGCUCUGACUUUAAAAUCAUUACUAGGCUUUUGUCAGAGCAGAUUUGUUGACAUUCUUCACAUAUUAAAAAAUUAAUUUAAAAGAUUGCACAAAUAAGCUAUGCAUUUCACUUUCUUCCUUAUAUGCAAAAAUGUAUUUAUGAUAAUUACAUGUACUGCCAGAACUGAAACAAUACAUUCUUCAUAAUGGAGCAUAAAUAAAGAAGGUGGAGCCAGCUGCUCUUAAACUGUUUAUUUCCAAGCAAUAAUGAUAGAGAGAAUAUACCUUUUUCACUCUGUAAGUCUGGAAAUACUGAACCUGUUGCUGCAUUAGACGAGUUGCAUUUUGCUGGAUAGGGGAAGGAGGGCUGUCUGCUGUCUGGUAGGAGGGCUUUGUCUGUGCCUUUCUCUCUGUUUCUUUCUGUUUUUCUUUCUCUCUCUCUCCCCUCUUCUCUCUCUCUUACUCGCUUGCUCUGUCUCUGUCUCUCUCUCCCUCUCUUCCCUCCUCCCUCCUCUCUCUUGCUCUCUCUCUCUCUUCCCGUCUCUGUGGUUUGUAAGGUAGGUUGCAGUGUGUGUAUAUACACAACAUCAAGAGCAGGAAAAUGGACUCAUUAGGGAGGCAGGCAGUCAUUACCACUCACACUGUACUUCCAGGGAGACACCGAUUAUAAGAAGAGAAACUCAGCGCUGGGGAAGAAGAAAAGGAUACUAUAGCUCAGAGAGGUGAAGUGAUUUACCCGUUCAAAAUAUUAUUACGCUUCUGGGUCAUCUGUAUGACAGUACUGAUCAUGACAUCUGACUAUUGCUGAUGACAGUGGGAAGAUCAUCUCCCUCAUUCUGGAUACUGUUAUUCUGCCAGAAUACCUGAUAAAUUGAAAGUUUGUGCCCCAUAGCUGCACAGGGUCUCUCUCUGUCACCCAAGCUGGAGUGCACUGGCACGAUCUCGGCUCACUGCAAUCUCCCUCCACCUCCUGGGUUCAAGCUGUUCCACCUCAGCCUCCCAAGUAGCUGGGACUACAGACUGCCCGAAGUUACAUUUAGAGACUGAAAUCACUGCACCUUAAAAACAAAAGAUUGAGCUGCACUGUAUUCCUCUUUCUUGGUAUCCACUUAAUAGAAGUCUAACUGAAAGAUACCCAGAAGUGAGCUCAUCUUAGACGGUGUUCCUGACUGUGCCAUUCUAAAUGUUCUUUGACCAUCAGUCUGUGACCUGCCCUUUCUCUUUACAUGUUGCUGUGGAAUAUUUAUGUCAAUAGUCUUCUGAUUCCUUCCUCCUCUAUACAGCUACUCUCUGUUCCCUGCCCCAAUGAACAUCUUCACUAGGCCCAAGCCUUGGAGUGAUUUACCUGAAGAGUGACACCAUUUAUUCUGAAACUACUGAAGAAACCCAAGACAGCUGAAAACCAGAAGGCAUCUGAGGAGAAUGAGAUUACUCAGCCUGGUGGAUCCAGCGCCAAGCCGGGCCUUCCCUGCCUGAACUUUGAAGCUGUUUUGUCUCCAGACCCAGCCCUCAUCCACUCAACACAUUCACUGACAAACUCUCACGCUCACACCGGGUCAUCUGAUUAACAAAUGUAAAAUUCUGCAAAGAAGGCAAGAGACAAAUUGGUCCAGGAGAUUCCAUUCUCUACUUGCUUCAUCCUGAUAGUCUUUGAAUAGAGGGAAAUGACCUGGGGCAGGGUUGAGGUGAAGGGAGCUUGUACUACCUAAGGCUGGACUAAGACCAUCUAGCCGUCACUGGAAAAUAAAAAGGGAAGUAACGUGAGCCAAAUAUCUGUGGCCCAAGAGAUUUGAACAAAGUUGCGGCUUCUAUAGAGAAACCAGGGGGCAGGAGCAGGGAUUGUGUCCUGAGGACCGUCCUAACAGUCACGUCCUUGGACCUUCUUGCCUGGCAGUCUCCAGCGUAAUAGUAAAGACAGAACUGGAAAGUAGCAUGGCACAGUGCCCACAGGCAUGUGCACACCGUCCCUUCCCACCAGGAAAACAGCCCGUUCGUGUAGUGAAUGGGCUAUUUUCUACAUGCAAAUCUUCAUUACCUGGCUUUAUGCCACACCUUAUGGGUGUGGAUUACCUAGAAUUGCCUUGGCCCAGAAAUCUUCUGUUACUGCAAAAAUAAAUGUUUUGCUGAAUAGAAAAAGCAUUGGGUUUCAUAUUGUGCUUUAUCAUGAGCAUCCUCUGGCCAGGCCCUAGCAUUAGCAUGAAGUACGUUUAAGGAAGAGUGUGAGUAUGGUGUCACCAUACAUCUCCUUGGUGGCCCUGAGGAAGUCAGUGGAUGUGAGCUCAGUUGGAAGAAAAAACGAGGAGGGGAAACCUGAUCUCCAGCUGUUUAGAAAGUCACUUUGAUUUUUCCAUUAAGAUGUGUAAGUCUGCUCUGUUCCAACCUGUUGUUUAAAUUGAUUAUACUUUUCUCCAAAUAUAUUUGGACUGUAGUUUGUCCUGAUUUGAGCCUACACUUAGAAGAAAAUUGUUUUUAGGAAAGAUUCACAGAAAUCUGUCCAUUUGGAGAUUGCUUGAGAGAAGACAGGAAAAAGGUUUAUUUUAAGCUGUUAAAAUUUUUGGAUGCUCUUCUUGCAUUCAAGAGGAUUUUUUUUUUUUUUUACUUUCAAAUGUCAUUCUUACCAUAGAUUAAUUUAAAAGCCUAAUUUCUUUAAGGUAAAAUAUUCAGUUCCUAUUUAGAACUAACAGAUUUGGGGCAUUUAAAAAUAGUGCCCUUGACUUGUUAGUCUCUUUAACUUCAGAAACAUUCCACCAGUGUGUGGUGUUCCAAGCUUUCACAAGUGCCUGAAUUUUUAUAGCACCUUUUUAUUUGUCAUGUGUUUAGCAAAAUUAUUCUUAGUCAAGAUUUAAUGCCCAUUUCCUGUCAGUAUGAUCCUUCCCAAUUUACAGAUGAGAAAACUGAGAAAAUUGACACCCAGGUAGAUGAAAGACUUGCUUGUGGUUAACUCAUUUGAGUGUUUAUGGAUUUGCUCUCAUUGUGAGAGUGUUUCUUACUGGAAUUCUCUAUCGAGCCCAAAGAUGGCAUUCCUGGCUCUGAACAGGCAUCUUCAAAAUGUGCAACUACUCAUAUUGGUGACUGGGUUGUAAAACAUGAUGGAUAAAGCAUCCUUACAAAAGAAAAGUCGGCUCUGCAUAGGAACUGACAUGGGUGGGUAGGCCACAGUCUUUUUUGCAUAUGAAGGACACAGGCUGUUUUACAGCAAAGAUGACAAGUCUGACCCCUUAAAUUCUCAGUUGGCUAUUUAACCUACUGCGCCUCUUCAAAUUUGGCAAAAGAUCCCAGUAAUACUCAAAACAAGAAGAAAUACAGUUGAGAUAUGCUUUCUUUUGUGGGAUGAUGAGGUUAAUAUUGCUGCUAAUAUGUAUGUUGCUUUCCAGUGUGGCUACUAACACAAUUUCCUUUUAGCAAUAUUCCCCCUUUACCUCCUAGCUUAUCACCUCUUCACCAUUGCUGAAAGCUAAUGGUAAGCAAAUUCAGAUGGUGAUAAUGGAAGGCAUUAAGAUGAGUUAUGGAAUCUGAAGGGUAAAAAACACCCUAGGUGUUUGACAGAGAAGUUACCCACUAAACAGGCUGAAUAUGAGCUGAGCCAAGUGCUCCCUUUAAAUGCUUAAGCAGGACUAAACCAAGUCAGUAAAGCAGAUGAAGCUCUCCAUAUGAAAAACCUUUCUUGACAGCUAUCAAGCUGUAGCACAUCACAGUCAUAUACAUGUGAUAGACGUGACCAGAACUUUUACUUGCAUAUUUCUUCCAUUUUGUUUUACCCCAAAUAAGGCUCCCAUUGAAAGAAGUGAUUUUCCUCUCUGCGGCAGUCCUCGCUACUUCUGCUGUGGAGCCACCUAUUCUGAUGUCUUUCUUUUGUUGGAAGCUGAUAUCCGUGGUGACUUACCUUCCUAUGUUUUACACCGGCCUCAUCAGAUUGUCUCUUUUUUUGUGUCCUUGCCAAGAUGCACUUACCCAUGAACAGUUUUUAUUUAUUUUUCACUGAACCUUUACACAUUACCAAACUGUCAUGUGGGUGGAUUUAACUUUAGCUCUAUAGGUAGCAUCACUCUGCUGGGGCUGGACACUCACAGAGGCCGGUGGGCUCUCCCUUUUCCAACUCUUGCCAUCCGCCUUCCUUGGCCUCCCCCUCCCAACCAUUUGCUUUACCCGCCCAAGUCCCUGUGAUUAAAAUUUUUAGUACACUUGGCUCAUUUUGAACUUUUAAGCAAUUUUUUAGAGAACAAAACAAAGAGGAUUUUUAUGGCAAACUCCAUUAAUGCCACAUUAAGGCUGACAUUUUAAUUACCCCAAAGUCAGGAAAUGCAAAGUUCAGGUUCCCACAGCAACAGAAACUGUCCCCUUGAGUGCUGGCAUCACAGCAGAUUCUUUCAUUCCCUGAUUACACAACACCGGGCGUGGGGACAUUGUUUUUAUCCACGUAUGUGGAAAGGAACACAGCUUUUAUCCUUUCAUUUUUUUUUCCUGUAACUACAGUUGAGGAUAUGGGUCUUUAGCUUCCCUCCCAAAACCAUCUAUAUGUAUUAUCCUGGAACGGAAGACUAUUAUAGCUCUACAUGUGCACACGGACAGAAUUAAAGUUGCUGUGGGAACAUUAACUCUGAUUUCCGGACUUCCGUGCCAGUCACAUUUAAACCAUAAUGUUGUAAUUUUUGGCAUGUAAUAAAUGUGCAUUUCAUGUACACAGACAGAAAGAAGCAUAAAAUGUAUUUUAAAGAGCAAUUAAUUACUAACUUUGUGAUUAAAAAACAUUUGGUGCAUGUUCCUUCCCAUUUAGCAUCAGCUGCUGGUCUUAGCCAGGCCUAAUAGAUGACAUACUGUGUCUCAUCCUGUAACUCAGAUGUACUUACUGUAUGUUCCUGUUCUUCCAGAUAAUUAAUUCCCUUAGUAAAGCUGUAGGGGGAAAACAAAAUGGAAGGAAUAUGCAAGCAUGUAAAUAGGGUAAGGGAUAUUUUGAAAGAAAUGAUUCAUUUCUGAAAAUAAACCUUUUAGUCCCUGAUAAUGAGCCAGAAAUCUGCUAAGUGGGUGUAGACAAAGGUUUCUGGCCACCUUAGAGCAUCUGGUUCUGGGCCAUAAGAACAACUUGAAAGCAGAUUUCCCCUUGAAUUCUAGGCAUGCCCACUGGGGGAGUAAUUUUACUCUAAAAACUUUUAGGCUUAAGGCUUAAAAAGUUAUUUUACUCUAUAACAAUUUUUAUUCUGUAACAACUUUUUUAUGCUGUAUUCGAACUGGAAAGUAAAAGUUAUAGGGCACCGGUAAGAUGAGGGUUUUGCUAAAGAACCCCUGACUUAAAGAGUAAUGUUUUUUCUUCCUUUACAUUUAAAUCUGGUUUACCUAUUUGUGGUAGAGAAGGAAGUGUUUCAAAAUAACUGAACGGGUUUGUGAGUGAAAGGAAUUAGUAGCAAUAGUCUAUGGUGCCAUAUUUAAAAAUGUGAAUGCUUGAGUAUAUAUUUGAAUCCAGAUGAGAUAAACAUUUUACUGAAAGGAUGUAUAGCUUAAACUCUAGGAAAGACUUUAAGGGAGACACGCUCAAUGAAGAACCUCUUGCUGUCUGUUCGUUCUGUCUCCUUUUGUGUAUUUCUUUUUGAUCAAUUUGGUUGCAUAUGAUAUUUAACCUUUAAGAAAGAUACAUCAGUUUUAGAAGGCUCUGAUUUGCUUUUACUUGGGCUGUCUCUAUGUGUGAAUGUAAGUCUGUAUGAGUGAAAACUGCUCAAGCAAGUGUGAAGGUCUCUCUGGCAAAUUUGACUGCACGUUCAGGAAGUUUCCAAUCAGAAAGCUGAUUCAGUGUAAAACCUUCCAAAAACUUCCUGAGGCACCUGUUCACAUGAAAAGAUUGGAUUCCUGUUGGAGGUGCUCAGAAGGCAGUGUUUACAACUGAAGAUCUCUGUUUGGUGUGCCAAAAAAUGAAAAACAUUUUGGCCCCAGAAAAUCUCCAUAAAUGUUCAAAAUGUAUAAUCAAACAAAAGCUUCAUUUGGAUUCAAAUGCAUGUAUCUCAGCAGAUGUGUCUAAACUAACUGGAAUCCCACAGGAGCAGCUGAACUGGAUUUUGGUAUGUCUUGAUAACUGAAAGAGUUAUUCUUAGACUUUGGAAGGACAAAAAUGGUCCAUCUGUGAAGAACCGUAAUAGAGACAUGGCAAAAAACAGCAUCCUCUGAAAGAGUUUAUUUAUGGAAUUUAGGACAAGUUGGACAAUCCUGAAAACAUUUUAGGGUCACACUAAUUUGCAGAGAAAAUAUAGCCAAAAUGGAGUGGAAUAACAGCCACAGACAGUUACUAUCCAAUGGCUUGUUAUUAAUUUUUUAAUAAAUUCCAUAUCAGUUAAGCAAUAAUAGAGCAUUUUGGUAUGACUAAGUGCGCUCGUUGCCCCAAAAGUAUCCUGCAUUCUGGUUUAUUCUAUGUCCUGUAAGGACUUAAAGACUUAUCUUUUCAUUUAAACUGUUUUUCUGUCAUUUCGUUAGCCAAGUAAGACCCUCAUCUGUUAAGUGUGGAUUUUAUGUCAUUAAAGAUAGUCUUUCCCUUUUUAAAAAGUCACCUUUCUACCUCUUAGUUAAUUGAUAUAUAAUCUCUUUGGAAUUUUUUCGUUACCUUUUAUGCCCUUUAUUUAGAGAUUUUAGUGAGUGCUUAGUCUAGCACUUACACAUUAGAAAGCCAGUUCAUAUUUUUUUUUCAUGUGCUCUAAUUUCCUAGAGUUUCCACUUCAUGUAUUUGGGGACAUGCUUAUUUUUAAAAAGCACAGGUCUUGAAAUUUUGUAUCUUAAUCUACCUCUGCUUUUAAAAUUGGCCCUCUUUUUAUAAAACAUAUUAUUUCCCUAUAAUACCAAUUUAAUUGGGUUUCUUCCUUGGUCACUUAAUGCAGUAAUUUCUAGUAGUCAUUCUUAAUCAUUCAUUCAUUUAGUAAUUAAUUCAGUCAUUGAUCAAUGUUAUCUAACCCCUCCUUCUGCACCAAGUCCUCAACUAAUGUUAGGGGUGAGAAGAGAAAUAAGAUCCCAUUUCCAAAGUUUAGGAACAUAAAGGGGUAAAUACAAACGCAGAAUUAAAGUGUUCCAGUAUGCACAGAAUGCUACAGAGCUCCUGAGGAAGGAGCCUAUUGCAGUGGAAAGAGCUCCACACCAAAAAUGCCAUUAAACUGGAUCAUAAAAAAGUGGGCAUUUGUAAAGUCGAAGGCAGAAGGAAUGGCAUUCCAGGUAGAAGGAACAGAAAGAAGCAAAACUACUGAGGCUCAAGGAAAGCGCAGAGUUUUCAGAACACAGAACAGUUCAGUUAUGACACUGAGGCCUUCUUAUACUUUGCCUCAUUUUAAUCAUGGGACAAUUUGUAUUUGAGUAACAUUGUCUGUUGUUAUAAUUCAGGUGAGCUGACUCCUAUGUCCAUUUCAGAGAUACUUGCUUUCCAAAUAUGUAAUAAAGCAAGACACCCACUUUUUUUUUUUUUUUUUUUUUUGAGAAGGAGUCUUACUCUGUCACCCAGGCUGGAGUGCAGUGGCAUGAUUUUGGCUCACUCCAACCUCCACUUCCCGGGUUCAAGUGAAUCUCCUGCCUCAGCCUCCCAAGUAGCUGGGAUUACAGGCACAUGCCACCGUGCCCAGCUAACUUUUGUAUUUUUAGUAGAGAGAGGGUUUCCCCAUGUUGGCCAGGCUGGUCUCAAACUCCUGGCUUUGUAAUCCACCCACCUCGGCCUCCUUAAGCACUGGGAUUAUAGGCAUGAGCCACCACACCUGGCCCCACUUAUUUUCUAAUAGGCAAAAGCACCCUUUCGUCCACAAAGCCAGUCAAAGUAAGAAAGUAUUCUGAGGGACCUAGUGAUGAUUUUGAUCAGUAAAUCUCAAAAUAAAUUUUCUUUUUCUUUUUUGUUUAAAUAGGGUCUGGCUAUAUUGCCCAGGCGGGGGUACAGUGGUGCAAUCUCAGCUCACUGCCACCUCUGCCUCCAGGGCUCAAGUAAUCCUCCUACCUCAGCCUCCUGAGUAGCUGGGAACAUCACAUCCAGCUAGUUUUGGGGGGUUUUUUUGUUGUUGUUUUGGUAGAGACGAGGUUUUGUCAUGUUGCCUGCCUGGUCUCAAAUCCUGAGCUCAAGCAAUCUGCCUGCCGUGGCCUCCCAAAGUGCUGAGAUUACAGGCAUGAGCCACACCUGGCUGAGAAUAACUGGUUAUUGAGACAAGUUCAUUCCUGGAGCCAGAGUCACCUACAGGUGUCAUGCUAGAACUUUGUCAUUGAUUUGUGGCCCCUCCAGACUCUUAAUCGUCUGUCUUCUUGUGAAAUCCUCCCAGGUCCCUUGGCAGGUCUGGUCUCAAUGCUCAUUGGCCCAAGUUACUACACUGUGCCAUAUUGCUCUCCAAACAUUGCAUAGAUAUGAUUGUCCAUAUGCAAUUGUUAGGGCCCACCACUGAUUUUCAGGGUUCUAUUCUUCAUCUUGCCAUCUCAUCACAUGCAGGAAUACAUCUUUAAUUCUUAACUACAGCCACUAGUGACAGUUUCAUGUAUGCUUCCUCUGAUCGUGGCAAAUUUCAUUAUAUAAAAUUAGUGCUUCUCCAUAUCUGUCAAGACUUCUCACAUCCUUAUUAAAAUAAAAGAAGCCACAUGCACUACUGCCCUUAGAGUUGGAUCAUUUAGGAUUGAUUGAGAGCAUGCAUGAGGAUUCUUUAAGGACUUCUUGCUUUAAGGAAAUUUCAAGUCGGUUCUUUCCACCAAUCACCUUACACUAGGUACCAUAAUCAAGUACCUUAUUACUUCAUCAGCAGAAUGAGCACUUUAUGGUUUCUUUUCUGCUUUUCUUCUGCCUCUGAACCCUUUAUUCUCUCUGAGGAAUGUGUACCAAUUCUAACUUUUUAUCAGCAAUGCAAGAAGAAAGUUUACCUGGUCUAUACCCAUUAUUGUACACAUGAGAAAACUGGAAGUGUUAUCAAAAAACUUUCACAGCAUAAUGAGUAACAGAGUCAGAAACAGAAUCCUGCCCUUUCUCCCAUCAUUUAUGCUACCUGCUAAAUUUAAGUCUGCUUCUGGGCAAAUUUAAUGUUUUCUGAACAGAAAGGAGUCAGGACUAUUUAAUCCAUCGAUAUAGUAGAUGCUUUCAAUGUGGAAGACCACAGGCUAAUUAUUGUGCAAGAUGCAGUUUUAUAAACUGAAGCUCUAUGCUCAGACUUAGAGUUUUAUUGAGAAGAUCAGAUAACAUUCACAAACAACUUCCAUGCAGAGUGGUUAAAGAUAUGUCCCUGUACACAGAGACCCACCAGAGCAUUGAUUCAUUCACUCAGCAAGUAUGUAUAGAAUAUAUCUUUUGUGCCUGACACUACAGUGAGUUCCAUGAGGUCACAAAGGUGGAGAAAAACAGACUCCACCACCAAGAAUCUUAAAACAAUACAUGUCCUCACAUCACCAGUAUCUGAGAAUUUAGAAAGUUUGUAAAGUAAUAUUUUAAUCCAGUUAACAGUAAUAUAUAGUUAGGUUUAUUAGAGAUGGUUCCAUUUGAGCUCUUUUGAAAGACUGGAGGUGAGGCAUUAGGAUUAGGUAUGAGGGGUUUGCACUUUGCUGCAGAGCUGUAGAAGGGUAUUAAGUAGGGCCUGCCAUGAUCAAGACUUUAGGAAGAUCUAAUUUAGCAGCCUGGAUGUGAGAAGGAGUGACCAUGAUCAAGACUUUAGGAAGAUCUAAUUUAGCAGCCUGGAUGUGAGAAGGAGUGACCCUUGAAAGGGACCAGACAGCACUGUCAGUAGUUUACACUAUUGGUGACCUGAAGAGGGCUGGUAAUAAGAGGGAUGUGUAGCAUGCAUGCAACAGAUUUUGAGGAUGAAGGUAGACAGCUCUGGGAGCUGAGUGUUGGGUACAACAAGGGCAGUUAUCAAAGAUAACUUCAAGAUAUCAAGAAAAGAUGAAAGGCAUUUAAAGGAAUUGAAUAGAGUUCCAUUUCAUAUAGUGCUGAGUAUGAGCUACCACACAUGUUCCCAGGGGAGACAACUAACAGAGUUGCAAACAGGGUCCUGGGGCACAGCAGGAAUACUUGAAAUUAGGACUAGCAAACACUUUGGCCAGGAGGCCACACUACAAGUCAUAAAUAUGGGAGUAAACUUCAAAGUAGUCUUUGUUAAGAGAAAAAAGGAAAGCAAAAUCUUGGGAAAUAUUUACAGGAGUGAUAAGCAAGAGAAUGAAGAAUGAAUAAAAAGAGGAAAAGAAAAGGGGGGGUCGAAGAGAGAGGAGAAAAAACAGGAUAGUGCAGAAGGACCAUCAGGGAGAGGAAGGGUCAGCAGUUAGUAUCAGGUGUCACAGAUACCAACAAGGGAGAGACCUAGGAAGAGAUUACCUUGGGUUCUGGGAUUGCCAGCUUCCUGGUUGCUGCUAAGAAAGCAGAAUCAGAUGCGUCACAAAAAAGACCAUAAAGAGGGGUUCAGGAGCAAACAUAGGAUAAAUGGGAAAGCAACUAUUACAAUGUACUUUUUAAAGAAGUUUAAUGUUUUAAAAAGAAACAAGGAAUGGGUAACUCACAAGUGGAGUAAUGAAUAUUUUUAUGAUACAAGAGUUUCUAGCCCAUUAUAGACUGAGAAAAACCAGUGUUAAGGGAGGCUCUGCAAUUAAAUAGGCAAGGUGAGAGGGAACUAGAUCUUCCAUUUCACAGGGCAAUUGCAAUGGUCAAUAUAUGUAAAAGGAAUUUGAAGGCACUGCCCAAGCCCAAUGAGGCAGUAAUUAAAUUAUAUUGUUUCUUUACUUCUUUUCAAAAUUGCUUUCUCUUCUUUUUAACUAAUGAGAAAUAAUGUUUUGCAAGAAUUAUUACUUCGCAAAUAUUCACUCAGUUCCUUACCCUCAGUGAUCUCUGAACACUAAGUAGAGGAUAGGUGUCAUACACUUUGAGCAUUUAAAUUAUCUUAACAAUUUUUAAAACCAUUUUUAAGAACAAUUGUUGUUUUUAAAACAACAAUUAAAGCCUAAUCCUUUAAAAGCCAUCUUCUGUGUACUUCUUUCAUGAUAUGCCCAAUUCAGGUAGCUCUGUAAUUACCAAUAACACACCUAUGUGUUGUUCUCAAGUCCUCCUUCAUUGUCAUGAGACAUCAUCAAAUUCGUCAUUUGUAGGGGGUUUUGAAUUUGUUUUGUUAAACUAUGCUGCUUUCUGUGAUGGUCCAAGACAUUCCAAAGGCCACUGCCACCUGGACACAAAGUAUCUGAUAUACUUCUACUUUAGGAUGGUGAUCUGGAACCAACUGAAUCAAAUGUUACUUUGUUCUAUUAGUAAAUUACCUGUAAAACUAAAUAAGGAGGUUAUUUUGUCACUGCUGAAAGUUAUAUAAAUAAUCAUAUGGAAGAAUUUUGAACAUGAGUCUUAUAAUCUCACAAGGCCAAAUGAAUUCAUUGUUGAUGUCAAAAUUGACCUUGAGGAGUUUUCCUUUCCUCUCCAAUUCUAAAAAUGAGUUUCCUCCUACUUAUUUAUCCUCACUAGUUUUAGCUUGGUUAUGUUAUCAGUUUUACACCAAGAUAUUAGACCAAAGUGUACAGAAUUUUUAAGAAAGUUUGGGUGGCGUGCAGAAUAUUACACAGAGAAUUUCAAGAAACAAUAAUUGAAUUAACUUUGUCAUUCCAUUUUUUUUUUGCUGUAUUCACUUUCUUUCCUAUGUAAUCACUUACUUUCUUUGUCUCGUAUCUGAACCAGGAAUUUAGAUGUAAAGGAGAUAAUGAAAGGUGCGUGUAAGUUUGAACUACAAAACAUAACUCUGUAUCUAAUGGAAAAGACACGUGCAAAUUCUGAAAUAAAACUUUUAGAAGUUAACCCCAGAGGAAAGGAUGCACACCAUUUUCUGGGGGAAAUACUGUAGGUCUUUACAUGUAGGCCUGAAUGGACUUUUUCCCAUUUUUAGGAAACCUCAGAAAUCUGGCCCUUUCCAUUUUAUUCUUGACCUAAAGGUCCCAGAUGGGUGACUAGAUCCUGGGAUUCCUGAAAUGGCCUAAGUAAUUCUGGGUUGACAUGCUGACUGGCACUGCAAAGCAGGCCUGGUUUCACUGAGCAGUGAUACAGGCAAAGCAUAGGCCCACCGCCCGGCCCUGCUCCAGAUUUUGGACUCCACUGGUACCAUGUCUGGGCCUUUCUCUUAGAGGUUCGUAUUCUUUCCUGCAUGUUGUUCUGGGACACUGGUUUAAAGAUUUUGUUGUAUUGGGGUCAGAGAACUGAAAGAAGGAAAAAACCACUUCCCCAGGACAUAUCCUAAUCAGAAUCUGCAUCCUCAAACCUGGCCCCCAAGAGUGAACUAAGCAAGGAGGAGAAGUCCCUGUGACUAUCCCAAUGCAAAGUGGCUCCUGAUACCCUCUGGGAUCCCUCCAAUAUGCCUUCGGGGCAGGGGCAGAUAUGAUAACAGGCUACUAAAGCUGUUUCUUGAACAUGUUCAUAAUGGACUAAGAUGGGGCUAUGCCUUAUUUUCCAAUAUUCAGAAAAUAUUUUUUCACACCUAGGGUCUAGUUAUUUGCUUUUAUUGACAUGAACUUCAGCCUAUAAAUGCAUUUUAUGUGCCUUUAAUUAACCUCCCUAUGUUUCCAUUUCCUCAUGUGCAUAAUCGCAUAAUGAGAAUAAAAAUAAUAUCCAUCUCAUAGGGUUAUUAGAAGGAUUCAGUGAAACACCAUAUGUAAGGCCCUUAAAGCAGCACCAGAGAAACACCCAGCACUCCAUGUUGAGUGUAGGCUACAGUUGAAGUGUUUUAAAAUUACUAAUAUGAACUAAAUUGAUAAAAGAAAGCAAAAUCAGUUGUGUCACAAAAAAAGACCAUGGAGAGGGGUUCAGGAACAAACAUAGGAUAAAUGGGAAAGUAACUAUCACAAAGUACUUUUUAAAGAUGCUUAAUGUUUUAAAAAGGAUUUUACAAAGGAUAGGUGCACUAUCCUUUCCCUGUGAGAAUGAUAAUGAAAAGCCCUAGAUCUAUAGGAGAAGAAUGUGUGUAAGAGAGUUACCUCCUUCACUUCAAGGAAAAGCCAGUGCCCCUCUGUUUGUCCCUUCUUGGAUUCAAACCUACGUAGACUGGGAAGCUUCUCCAUUAUCUCUUUGCCUUCUUUUAUCCUACCAUUUGUAUUGUCUUUUUUUUUUUUUCUAAAAAUGAAAGAGGACUGAUAUGCAUCAUCUUAUUCUUACAAAACACCCCAUUUUACAGACAAGGAAAUUGGAACUCAAAUAAGUUUCAAAAUCUCUCUGAAUGUUGUCUUCUUGGCAUAGGGAAGGGUUAGAGAAUUAUUAAUAUUAUAGCAUUACAUUCUAGUGUUAAUCUAUUAAUUUCCUUCUUGUCUUCAAGUGUAUUCUAGUGAAUAAGAGAUUUUCAAGCUGUGCCCAGCGGCUCAUGCCUGUAAUCCCAACACUUUGGGAGGCCAAUGUGGAUGGAUCACUUGAGCCCAAGAGUUAGAGACCAGCCUAGGCAACAUAGUGAAACCCCGUGUCUACAAAACAAUUAGCUGGGCAUAAUAGUGUACACCUGUAGUCCAGCUACUUGAGAGGUUGAGGUGGGAGAAACACCUGAGCCCAGGAAGUCAGUAAGCCAUGAUCAUGCCACUGCAUUCUUCCAUGGGUGACAGACAAAGACCCUGUCUCAAAAAAAAAAAAAAAAAAUUAAAAAAACGGAGAGAGAUUUUCAAAUUAUAGGGAAUGGAUAUAUGUGCUAUCUUACCUCAGAACACAUUGUAGGAUAUGUGCAUUCACCUAUGUGCACCCAUCUGCAAUCUGUCCAUUUCACCUUAGGUGCCCUUUCACCAAAGCACCUUCCAGCUGGGAUACCCAAAGAGAGCAAAUCAUCAGAUCUUUAGAAUGAGCAAACUUCUAUGCUACCAUAUUAGAGAGCCUUUUGCAAAGAGAAAUACUUACAAGUGAAGAAAUCCAUCUUUUAUUUUUUUGAAAGUCAGUCUGCUUGAUGGUUUGAGAGUUUCUGAAAUAAUUCAAAAUAGAGGUAAGCUUAGAAGAGUGAAUGAGUUUCACUUCCAAAGAAGAUUGCCUGUAAUCACCCUGCUUACUUACCUUCUUCCACUCUGAAGCUGUCUGCAGUAGUUGGAAAAAGUGUAAUCUUAAAAAAUUCAGUAACAGUCACUGGCUGACUAUACCUGGGAUACCCUCCCUAUUCAGUGGUGCUCACAGUUUUUGGUGAUGCAUGGAGAUAAUUUCAGAUGUUUGCUUCUCUUAACUCCUGAGCACUUUUGCUUCUCACUGUAGAAUUCCAGAGACACAUCAGUAUAAAACUUGAUUUACAAGCCUCCUAGUAAUAGUUGCAGAUUAGAUAGAAAGCCAAACUAGACUGUACACAAGUCUGUAUAAAUCCCAAAACAGAGCUUUAAAAUAAUAACUUACUGAGUCAUGAUUUCUGCAUCUCAUAUGCAGUAUUCCUUAAAUCACAUGUUGAUGGCUAAUCAACAAAAUCCAAAGACGCAAAUUAGAUGGUACAAUAUUUACAGAGAAAAUAUAUGUGUAGUUUGAAAAGCAAGGAUUCUCAGGGUUACACUCCCACCCCUAUUCCCCCUAGAAAUGAUAGCAGUUGCAAUCUGAACUCUCAACAUUGUAGCCAAGAAAGGAAUGAAUAUAACAAUUUAAAAAAAGAGACUUAAGAUAGAACUUCUUAGUCAAAGGAGUCUGGACCUUCAAGAAAUAUGUUUAAGAAAGAUUCGGAAGAAAUACUAGGUAAGAUGAAUUAUUCCUUUUCCUCAAAUAGCAUUCUGGCAGUGUACUUGUUAAAUGUUUAUUUUGGCCAGGUGACAGAAUUCAGAAGAGCAGAAUCUUGUUUAGCUUGUCCACUGCUGAAUGCCUAGCACCCAGCAAAGUGCUUACACAAAUUAGGAGUAGGUGCUCAGCAAGUGUUUGUUGAAUGAAUAAGUGAAUGUGGUGGGGAGAAUGAAGCUAAAGUAAUGGUAUAGUGCAUUUGUAAGCAUUUAGCCCAUUUAUAAAAAUAUAGGUACUAAUUUUUUACCCAAUUCUUUUUUUUUUCAUUCAGCAGACCUACAAAAACAAAACAAAGUGUAUCACAAAUACCCUCUGCUUUUUAUGCUGAGGAAACAGAAAAGCUUUCUUUUGAUUGUAGGCUGCUACAUGUUUUAAUUCUAAUAGCAAUAUGGCAGGUCAACUUUGUAGUAUAAUCUGGUGCCUGUUUUUGAUAGAUAUCAUGGAAAUAGAUACUUAUUUUCAAGAUGCUCAAACAGAUGAUUAGGCGAAAGCUCUAGCAAACCUUGAAACAACAAAAAGAAAAGGUUUCCCACUCCCACCUCCCGUUGCUGUAACAUCCUGCACAGUUUUCUGCAACCCCACAUCCUCCUCCUUGUUUCAUCCUUUUCCUGGGUCUAGUCUUUGUCUAGGGAAUACAGCAUGUGACUGUCAGUCUAGCAAGGAGACAGUUCUUGAGAAAUCCACCCCCUACACACUGUGUUCCCAAGCUCCUCUUACGGGAAUGGCAUGAUUUGAUCAGCAGCAGGCAGAGCUGGCCCAGCGAAACAAGAGCUUGGCAUAGAAAUCGUAGUGCCCUCCUGCUGGUAGGGCCCUCAAGAGAGUUGCUUCAUGCCCACCCUCCCUCAACUGGCUGGACAGUAGAAGGAUGUGUAGGAAAACAAAUUCCUGGCUGAAUGAAUAGAGGAUUAAAUGAAUGAGAGAUGAGUUCACUCCUCCAGAAGUCCCCGCCAUCCCACUUGAAUAGAAAGGCUAACUUUGAAGCCACUCUGUUCUCCAUGGCGCUAUUUUGUGUAUACUCAGCUUUGGAAUAUGGUUGCCAUCUGCUGCCAGUGCUUAGGACUAAGGAAGUAUUGGGGUGGGGAGGAGGAGGCUGGGAGGGAAGAAAAGAGACACUUAAAAUGAGCUAAUGAUCUCCUUUGUGUUGGAGUCUAGGUUUCAGAGCAUCAGUCCUGUACUUCAAGAACAAAACACCAGUGUGUCUUAGACCACACCAGGCGCCUGCACAUCAGAUAAAGACUGUGCUGUGUGGUGUUCAGCCACUGGGCCUGGAGAAGUUCUAAAAGUGAAAUUACAGGUGCAAACUGAGGAAACUAAAAGGAGAAAAGGCCAAGGGUAAAAUACAAUUAGGAGGGCUCUGCAGAUAUGUGUCUUUGGGGUUACAGUAGUUGAAAAAUGAAUCUACUAAUUAAUGAGUUGGAUAAUACUAUAAAGACAAGGUAUGUAAGGAUCUUUAGAAGAAAUGACACACUUUUCCAUACACUCUGAGUACAUUGCAAGCCUUUAGUGUAAUCUCAAGGUGAAAGUGACCUGGCUGUUGUGUAUUGCUGUAGAUUUAACUAGAAGUGUUACAGAUUGCUAUACUAGAGGCAUGCAUGGUGCUCCUUUAAAAACAGAAAAGGCUGUUAAGCAAAGCCAUUAAGACAACUGAACAUCUCUGAAAGGCAGCGAAUAGCUCAUAGAGCUUCCUGGCUUCCCUGAUAUUGUUUGUAUAAAUUGUUGGGGGGUUUUGUUUGUUUGAGAGAGAGUCUCACUCUGUUGCCUAGGCUGGAGUGCAGUGGCAUGAUCUCAGUUCACUGCAACGUUUGCCUCCAGGGUUCAAGUGAUUUUCCUGCCUCAGCCUCCUGAGUAGCUGGAAUUACAGGCAUGCACCAUCAUGCCCAGCUAAUUCUGUGUUUUUAGAAGAGAUGGGGUUUCAUCAUGUUGGCUAGACUGGUCCCAAACUCCUGACCUCAAGCGAUCCACCCACCUCAGCCUCCCGAAGUUCUGGGAUUACAGGUGUGAGCCACCAGGCCUGGUCAAAUUGUUGGUUUUUGAUGCAAAAUCAUGUUAAUAAUUUAUGUACUGAAAUAACAUGCCAGAGAAUAAUAAUUAAGCUGCGGAUGUAUGCUAGUGAAAAAAAAAAUGACAGUGAAGUUUACUUUGGGAAAGGAUUAGCUAAUUCCCUAGGUAUGACAUUUGAAGGCCAUGUACUAUUAUAUGUUCAAUAGUAAUCCUGUAUCUUGAAUUGGAGGAAGGCAGAAAUUGUUUUUGCCAUGCAAGGGAAGAACCACAUCAGCGAUGUAGAUAAGUAUAAAUUUAGAGACAAUGACAAUCCUAGAAAUGCAAAAUACCACUUUAGGGAGCACUAAGUGAUUGCUGAGCAGUGUGUCACACUCAGUGCCUGGGAGCAGCAAAUCAGUACAUAUUUGUUGGCUGUGUAAGCUCUGGCCUAGACUCCUGUCUUCCAGCAGGAACCAGUCAUGCACAACUGUGACUCAGCCACAAUUAGAAUAUUAGUAAUGCAUUAAAUCUCUCUCAUGUACAGUUUCUCUUCCUAGAAACCUUAUGUCCCUCCAUAUUCUGUUUGUCCCUACAACAUCCCUGUGAAGCAUACGCACUGUCAUUUUACAGGUGGGAUAACAGAUCCACAAAGAAAUCAUUUAAUUCUUUGUCUUCAGAUGUGAAAUGAUUGAUAAUCAGUAUACUGAUCCAGCUCAUUGUACUGUUUUUCACAUUAUUUCAGCUUUCCUAGGCAAAGGACAUAUUUUAUCUUUCUCAUUAUUAUUUUUAAUUAGUUUUUAGAAAAGGUGAGAUAAAAACAGAAUCUAACAAAUAUCCCAUGGAGAUAUUUGGUGUUCUCUUUUCUUUCAAGAAUAAAUUAAGACCUUCUCUGCUCCUCUCUGCUGGCUCUCUCGGCAGAUAGUCAAAAUCCCAUGCCAAUUUUCAAAUGAAUAAGGGCUCAUUCUAAUAGCUGAUCACAGUCCCCUCUGUUGAGGAAACAGCCUUUUAAAUUCAUGUCUGUACCCUGAAUAAGUUACUUUUGGUUAUAAACUUUAACAGUUUGACCUGAAGAUUUCUAAACUGUACUAAUAUAUAACCUGGUUGUGAGUUCAGCAAUAAAUUUAUACCCAGCAUGUGAAGGGCCAAAGAGAAAACUAGCCUCUUUUAUUCUCUGGUGACCUCCACUAAAUAUUGUAUAUUUACUUUGCAAAUGAGGACACCCAGUGGCCACCAAGAGAAAGUAUUCUAAACAAUCCUUGACACCACUCUUAACACCCCGUUGUCAAUGCUGGAUCGAUAUUUCUGUAACAUCUGUUACCAAGCAGGUUAGCCUCCCUACUUGGGCAAAAGUAAUCGGAGUUUGGCCUGAUCAUUUUUAUAUCACAUCAUAGAUUGGUCAUCUCUUCUUAUUUUUUGUUACAAAAUAUGGCUUAGCUUUGGGUUCUACUGAAUCGUCUGUUGACAGGAGGACACAGUGAGCUGCCUCUCUGGGGAAAUGGAAUCAGGGAGAUAGAGACAGCAUGGCAUGUGUCAGAAAUCAAAUGAAAGACCAGAGUUUGUGGGAAACUCAGUGAACACAUAAGACAAUUGCUUGGACAUUAAAUUCAUAUUGAAAAUAGAGCUGUGGGUAGGUAGGGAAAUAAAGGACAAGAAGAACAUUACACAGAACUUCAGGGGCGGGAAAGCCCUCUCGGGGCCACACCAUGUAGACAUAUCUCAGAGUAAAUGUGUGUGAGGUUCCCACUUAUCAACAUGUUUGUGAAAUGCAGUGAAGAGCUCACCAGACAAGUGCUCACAUAGAACCUACACAUUAUAAGGAAGCAUGCUGGGCAGAAUUGGGGAUCCAGUUAUAAAUUUGUAGUUGUCACUGUAGUUGUGGUUAUAACAAGGUAAGAUACUAGCCUUUGGGAGGCUUUGAGUCUUAGAGAGAUAAUACAGACACAAAUGAAAAAGGGAAUAAAAGAGAACGUAACAUAUUGGUAAGAACUCAUGUGGUACAUGUGUGGGAAGUUCAGGUGAACUUCCCCAACAUGCCUCAACAUUCAGGUACAAAAGAAUUCCCUUAUUUUUCUAAGGAAAAUUAAACCUGAGGCCUCUGUCACAAAAUCGCAAGAAAUACAGUGACGUUUUGGGACUCUCUUCUCAUCCUAGAUUGGUACAAGACUCAUGAUCAGGUCCUUAGACCAUGGUGAUCUCCAUCAUUGACAUUGCUUGACUACCCCACAAAGAUGCCAUUGAGCCCGGUCCUUCUGUGAUUGCCAGCACUACUGCACUAGCUGGGUUUACAGAUGACCUCCACAGUGGUCUUUGCUGCUGACCAUUGGCCCAGCCCCCAGAUGAUUACUGUUCCUCUCAAAGCAGUGCCUUUUUAUGUC